UAGACUCAAUAAACAAAACUUCAAAUAAUCUAGGACUCUUUCUAACUUUGGAUUGAAAAUUCUGGAUUCAAUGCAACAUUGGAUACGCCAAAUAUUGGACCCAAACUCCUUAACUCAAGACUCCUAAUCAACUAGGACUUCCAAAACAACUAAGACUCUUUAAGACUCAUGCACAAGCUGCAUCAUAGUUGCCAUCUGUGAAGUCCCCAAACGUGAACUUGACGUGCCACAUGGAGAGUCCUUUGAAGUGAAUAGGUCCCCGCAUUGGCUCCCCUUGGACUGAUGGUUGACACCAUUGGAAAUCCCAAAAUACUGUGAAACAAAUCUGCUGGUUGGCACCCUUUGGAGAGUCCUUCUGCGAUUAGAAUUCUUCCUAAUGGUUGGCGCCCUCAAAGAGUCCCAAACCGAGUGGAAUUCUGCUGCUAAUGGGUGCCCUUUAGAGUGCCCUAAAUGGCAUGUAAUCAUGCUGCUGCACUGGCCUCUGAAUGGCGCACAUGUAGAGCCCCAGCUAGGGUGGAAUUAGGCUAAUGUGUGGUGCGCUUCAUGAAAUCUAAAUGGUGAUCGCUGAUCGCUUGAAUAAUCCUCGUUGGACUGGAACUCUUGGACCCAAUAUGUUUUGGCACUAGAACUUAUGGACCCAAUGUGUUUUGUGCACGCCCAAGCAAGGACCCAAACUCCAUGCGCAUCUUUGAUAACUUGGGCUCCUGCUCCUGCAUCACUGAGCACCUGUAAUGUUAAUCUUUUGUGUUUCACAAUAAAUCCUGAAACAAAAAGGUUUGGAACAACCUUUAUUAGUACUCACAAUUCAAAUGAAUUUAUGAAAAUGUGGAAAUCAAAUAUAAAUAAAGAAAUACAACUAUGUACAAAUAUGGAUAUAGAAAGUCUAUGAAAAGAAUUACUUAUCAAGUUAUUUUGAUGCUAAACUAUUGAUAUUCUUGGAAGGCAUGCUUAAUAUACUGAUUCUAAUUAUAAAAAGUCAACACCAAGAAAAUAUAAUUGCAAACAAAAAAGACAAUGUAAAACACUAAAAAAAUCACAAAAGUUUGAAAACCUAAGUAUUAAAAAUUAAAAUUUUGGGCUUUGUUACAUAACUAAAAAAUAUCAUCUACACUAUCAUCUUCUGUUUCAUUAUCUUCCAUGUGCUCCUCUUCUAUCUCUAGCGUAACCUCCUGUCCUUCACCAUGAUCUGCUACUUCAUUUGUAAUCCAAUUUGAAUUAAAUGCAUCUUCAAACUUUUGCUCAUUUACUUGCUCUCAUCUUCAACAUAGAAUACCUUUUUGGCUUGUGACGCCAACAUGAAAGGGUCAUCAAUCAAAUUGUUAUCUAUGCAUGACAAAUGGGAGAAAUUCACAAGUGUGUAUUCAAAGUUAUCUUUCUUGCAACCCCGUUGAUAUCUGUUAUUCUCAAAGGAUUGAUUUUGAUGAUAACAAAACAUUUGAGAGUUCUUAACAUGUUUGGAAUUGGACUAGUGAAGGAAAUAAUAAGAAUGCAGGAAAGCUAAGUGAAGCGCCAUUUCCCAAGAAGUUGGCCCUUACACAUACAAAGGAAGCUUCACAAGCGAGAAGCUGUCUCCACCUCAAGUAGAACCAUCUCACAAAAUAGAAGGAAAAUGCUGAGUAGGCAAGAGACAUCUCCAACUUGACUAGGUCAAAUGGAGGAUAGAGAGUAGCAUGGGUCUUGAAGUCUCAUCCUUCAAGAACUUUCGUUGCCAUUAAACUACCAUUCAAAGUAGUUGGAUAUGAAUUGAGAGUGGAGUGUUGAGUUACGAUGGAAAUGAUGUAGUGCUGGGCUAUGGUGGAAAUGUAGCAUUAGGCUGUGGUAGAAAUAUAACACUAUGUUAUGGUAAGGGUAUAGCACUAGGCUAUGGUAAGGAUGUAGUGCUCAGCUAUGAUUGAAAACUAAGUUACACUUACUCCUAGCAUAAAUGAUGACACAGAAUGGAGGUGGGAUAUUUGCUCUGAUAUCAAUUGACGCAGAAUGGGAGUGGGGUUUAUGUUAGAAGUAUGCUCUAGAAGCCAAUGUGGCUGACGCAUAUUUGUAAUUUGGGGGCACAAAUUUGUAAUUUGACUCUUAUCAAUAAAUAAGAUUGGGCAACUUGUUUUUUAUUUAUGUUUGUGUAUGUCCAUGAAUCGUCCAAGAAAUUAAUAGAUAAUGACACAUAUUCUCAAGAAGUUGAGAAUUUGAGGUACGUGUCAUUAGAGAUUAAUUUCUAAAUGCUCCUGAUCGAUAGAUUCAUCACGAGGGACGGUGAUCGAUCUGCUAAGAUUAGUGCACAGAUCACUUAGUCAGAUGGACGAGUCUCGAGUCCGUGGUGUAGAGACACUGGAGUGAUUGUGCAAGUACUUGUUAGAGAACAAGAUACUGAGCGUGACCAAAGAAAGUAGUCAUAUGGAUGUCAUCCACUCGUCAGUGACUACUUAUGCUGCAGUUGUAUAACUGGUCCUUUGACCUACGAUGCCUCAGCUAUUCACUGUGAGGUUGCUGUAGUUUGACGAGCAUGUGAACUUGGGCCCUAGCCAUUCGGGUCCUUAUAGUGCGGAUUGGCUGCAGUAGGUUCAUUUUGGAAUAGAGUUGCAUCUAGAUGGGAUCUAUCGACCUUGAUAGAUUAGGAGUGAUCCUAUGUGAUUUAUGAGACUGAGUUCGAUAAAUUUCUGACCAGGUAUUUUGAAAAAAGAGUUCCAUAUCUCGAACUGGAAGUCGAAUAAAUUUGACAUAUGACGGACGAUGGGGUUUGAUAACAUAUCCAUAACCUCCAUCACGUCGGGAUCCAUGAUAAAGGGACUGUAUCAUACGCUAACUGCAUCUAGAGAUUCAUACAUUCUAUUUUGCUGGGUUGCCACCACAUACUGUUAGGUAUCACUAGUGGAUUGUGAGACUUGAAGGCAUUCAUUCACUUGAUGAUCAGUGAAUCUUGAGAGUAGAA
rnacentral:lncRNA from 1 species